rnacentral:rRNA from 1 species
UGGGGAAUUUUGCGCAAUGGGCGAAAGCCUGACGCAGCAACGCCGCGUGGAGGAUGAAGGUCUUUGGAUUGUAAACUUCUGUUGAUCGGGAAGAAAAGUCAAUGGUUAAUACCCAUUGUAAUGACGUUACCGAUAAAGAAAGCACCGGCUAAUCUCGUGCCAGCAGCCGCGGUAAUACGAGAGGUGCAAGCGUUAUUCGGAAUUAUUGGGCGUAAAGGGCGCGUAGGCGGUGUUAUAAGUUUUUUGUUUAAUUCUUUGGCUUAACCAAAGGCAUGCGAAAAAGACUGUAAUGCUAGAGUAUAAUAGAGAGAAGUGGAAUUUUCGGAGUAGCGGUUAAAUGCGUAGAUCUCGAAAGGAACGCCAAUGGCGAAGGCAGCUUCUUGGGUUAUUACUGACGCUGAGGCGCGAAGGCGUGGGGAGCAAACAGG